AUUAUCAGUAUUAUACGGAGUGGCGAAAUGUUCGGAACUCGGAAAAAAAACAAAAAAAAUUUUAAAUUUUGUAAAAUUGUAUUUCGGAAUUUUUGUUGUUCUAAAUUUGAAGCGUAAACCGAUGAUCAGGUUCUACCAUUCAACACAUCGAUAGUCACCAGGCCCACCGGGAGCGCGUAACUGUACUUCGCGACCCGGAUCGAAAUUCUGUGAGCUUGUUAAUUGUCAGUCCAAAUUUAAAUUAUUUUAAGCAAUCAAAGAUGCGAACUAUACGGAGUAGAAACGAAGACGAAAACGAAGCCGAAACACAAAAACGAAAAAUGAAAAUCGAAAAACAAAAAAGCGAAAACGGAACAUGAAGAAGAAAACGAAGUCUGAACUCCAGACUGGACUCGAAAAUGAUUCAAGUACAUUUUGACCUCUUGUACGAACUGAAUAUAUAUAUAUUUUAUAUUUGUCCAUUAUAUUUUGAUAUAUU
rnacentral:sRNA from 1 species